rnacentral:rRNA from 1 species
CGCGUAGGUAACCUGCCUGGUAGCGGGGGAUAACUAUUGGAAACGAUAGCUAAUACCGCAUAAGAGUAGAUGUUGCAUGACAUUUGCUUAAAAGGUGCAAUUGCAUCACUACCAGAUGGACCUGCGUUGUAUUAGCUAGUUGGUGGGGUAACGGCUCACCAAGGCGACGGUACAUAGCCGACCUGAGAGGGUGAUCGGCCACACUGGGACUGAGACACGGCCCAG